rnacentral:lncRNA from 1 species
GGCUAUGGACCUAGGACUUCCUGCCCCAGGGAGACAAGUACAAGAGCAGCAGCAGAUGUAAUCAGGACCCCGUCUGGGGUAACAGCCUGGAGCAGAUGCUGUCUAUGAGUGGUCUCUAUGUGCCAGCUGUGGCAGGGUGAGUGGGUGGGCUGAUUAUGAUUAAAUACAGGAUUGAGACAGGCUCACACAUAUGGGAAAUGUUAAGCUGGUUUACUUGCUGUAUUUCUGGUCUAGCCUCAAAUUUUCUCCAGCUGGACACUUCUGCAUAGUGAGAAAGCACAAAUCCACUUGGUGGAACACUGGAACAUCCUCAAACUUCCGGACUGACAUAGAUAAUCCAGCGUGAGGUGAUGGAACAUUAGGGAACUCAGCUAUGCAGAGUUGGGGAGGCAGAGAUGGAAGAGAUGAAAAAGGAAACGAAGUUCAGAUAUCCAGAUGUUCUGAGCUGUGGACAGAAGCUGACAUUCCCAAACAACCAUAUUCUGACCCCAUCCAGAUGUUCUGGCCUUACUUCUCAGCUGAUCCAUACUGAGGAAUCUUGCCCUGCCAGGAAACAUAGAGCACCAGAGCCAGGAACACAAAGAGGAAAGCUAAUGUGAUGCAGAAUUUUCUAUCCACUUAUGGGGUUCAGGACACGCCAAAAUAUGGUACUUUGGCAUGUUGAAUAUCUUAAGCUGAAGGAGUUUGAGAAAAUGACAGAAGCAGAAAGGCCACUCUGACCUCUCCACCUCGCCCUUCUGCCCUGAAGGCCAGAGAUAAAUCUCCCCUGUGAAAGUACCCUCCUAUGCCACAAGGAAAAGAGACACAGAGAGAGAGUGAAUGGAGAUUUCUCAACUAUAUUAAAUAGCCUUUAUCUUCUAACUUACUUCUUCCCCACUUACUAAUAGUUCAAACUCUUUUGUAUGGUCAAUUCUUCCCAAUCGUAUUGUUUCUUUGUCUAAAAGGUAUAAAAGCUUCUUGCUCUUAUGAACGCUCCCAUGUAAAUGUAAAAAUUUAGGAAAAUUCAUAUGAUUUUCUUCUGUUUGUCAGUUUAAUUUUCAGGCCUAGCCUAGGACCUGAGAACGGUCAAGGAAAACUUUUUCUCCCCUGUGCCAAUUAGCCUCUACAUCCACCUAAGUAGAUUCAAGCAGAACUAGAAAUCCUGAUGAGCCAGCAACACAUUUGGUAAGCUGUGCUUUGGGUCACAGUUGAUUUUAGAGAGUUCUCUUUUCAGCAUUUUCACCUCUCCUCCCUCCCCCCACCCCACCCCCAAACCUG